rnacentral:sRNA from 1 species
GUUGGGUGUGGUGGUGCACGCCUGUAAUCCCAGCUACUUGGGAGCCUGAGGCAGGAGGAUCAGAAGUUUGAGGCCAGCCUGGACAAUUCAGUGAGACCUUGUCUCAA